GUUGAAACACCGGCUCUCAUACGAUAAUCGAAGUUAAACAACGUCGAGUUUGGUCAGUACCUAGAUGGGUGACUGCUUGCGAAUACCAGAUACUGUAAG